AUGGCGCCUGGAGGGAGAGCGAGCAGACGAAGAUGGCGCCCGCUAGUCUCCAGGGUGGGGCAAAAGUGGGGACAGGGCCCCACAGGGCGUUUCAAAGCCCACGCCUGCCCCCCUGUCCAAGGCUCCGUGACAAGCAAAAAGCGAGCGAGCCGUUCCCAGGCACAGUCCGGCGUCGUUCCAUCGGCUGCCUCCGUGCUGGACCCUGAGGCGGAGAGGAAAAAGCAUGGGAAAGAGCAGAGGGAGAAGGAGAGAGAGAAUCCUGAACAGAUUCCUUGAAAGAGUGGAAGCAAUCACAGAGGGAGAGCUAUCACAGAGAAGAAGGAGAAGCAGACUCACCACCCAGCAGAAAGCCUGAUGUGGGGCUCCAUCCCAGGACUCCGAGACCACGGCCCAAGCCAAAGGCAGACACUCAACCAGCUGAGCCAUCCAGGCACCCCAAAUGUAGGAAUUCUUAAAUUCUCUUUUGCAUGAUUCACAUCAACAUAGAAAGCAAAUAUGUAUUAUUUUAUAGUUGUAUAGGCUGCUUAAUCAAUUUUGACCAAAUUUAAUUUUGACCAAAUUUCAGUAGGAGUUGAAUUCUCUACUUACUAUUUUACACAUAUGAGGACUGGGAGAAUAUCCCAUAAACUAGUUCUGGCUCUUUACUUAUAAAGCUUUACUUUUUUUCUUCCAUGAAAGAAAUUACAUCCCCCUAAUACUAAAGGACAAGUUAGUAUUAGAAUUUGACCACUGACUUGUUCAAAAUCCCAGGUGAGCUGGUGGAGUAAAAGUAAGAAUACUCAGGGUAGUCAUUCUAACCCUCAGAUAGCUAGAAGGAAAAACAACAACAACAACAACAACAACUAUAUGUAAAAGCAACAUUGAAAUACAAAAUAGCUAACUAAACUGAAACCAAGUGUAUAGCCAUCUAAAAUUUCUUUUUAGCUAGAUCCACCAAAAUGUCAAUCCAAGACCACCUGACAUAAAGGAAGGUGUGAUGGGGGGAAUCAGAAUGGAAACAGAGAGCAGUUGUAACUGAUUAUGAUUAAAAUCAUUUAAUUUGGCAAAUUUUCCAAAAGCAUAUGACCAUGGGAACAUACCACUUGAGCACCUUCCAUGGAAGGGGUACACAUGUGUGUAGGAUGUGGAAGUGUAAUCUUUAGCAUUAACUUCAUGGUGAAUCUUCCUCCAGUGCAGUGGUGAAAAGAACAAGAUUUGGGGUCAGACACGCCAAGGUUUUAAUCCCUUUCUAGUUGGGUGGCAUUCACCAAGUCCCUGAGCCAAUCUAAGCCUCAAUGUCCUCAUCUGGAAAUGGAUAUGUUUAAAACUUGCCUUAUAUGACUAAUAUGUUUAAAUGGAAAUUUAUGUAUAUAAAUUUCAUAUUCUAAGAACUCAACAAUUGGUAGCUAUGAUUAACUCAAUAAUGGAUAGCUAUUUAUUGGAUUAAAUGUUCAGAAUUUGUCACCCUUACAAGAUAACCAAACACUAAAGUAAACCUUAGGUUUCUAAUAUCUGUCAUCCUACAUCUACAUCCUACAUCCUACAUCUAUCAAUAAAUAAUUGGCCAAAUUAUUCCCUAUUCAAGAACAUGCUUAUCCUUUUCUAAUUUUCUAAUUGAAAGCCAAUGUAUCUUUCCAGAUCCAACUGAGAUCUCACCUGUUCUUUCCAGUUCUUCAGCUUUUUCAGCUACUUGCUGCUGAAACUGUUCUUGAAGAUUAUGGUGGCACUGUCCAAUAGCAAUGUAAUGUGGGCCACAUCUGCAAAUUUAAGUUUUAUAUAGCUAGACUAAAAAAACUAAAAAGAAUUAAAACCAGUUGAAAUUAAUUUUGAUAGUAUUUUUAGUUGGGUACCUGGGUGGCUCAGUCAUUAAGCAUCUACCUUUGGCUCAGGUCAUGGUUCUGGGGUCCUGGGAUUGAGCCCCACAUUGGGCUCACUGCUCGGCAGGAAACCUGUUUCUCCCUCUCCCACUCCCCCUGCUUGUGUUCCCUCUCUUGCUGUGUCUCUCUCUGUCAAAUGAAUAAAUAAAAUUUAAAAAAAAAGAAAUUUAAAAAAUAAUAGUGAUAUUUUUACCUUAUCCAACAUGUCCAAAAUAGUAUUUCAACAUGUAAUCAAUAUUCUAAAAUUAUUAAUGAGAUAUUUUACAUUCUCUUUGUCAUAUUAUGUAUUCAAAAUCCAGUGUAUAUUUUGCUUUCAUUAGCAUUUUCAAUUCACAAUAACCACAUUUCAAGUACCUGAUAGCCUCAUGUGUCUAAUACCUGCCAUAUUGGAUUUCAUAUGUGUAUACUAUGAGAAGUUGGUACCAUCCUAUUUAAUAUGCCAUUAUGUGUCCUGGUAUUUCCUAUGUGGCAGUCCUUUCCCAGCCAGUUACUAGAUUUUUUGAAGAACUAUAGAGUUCUCUAACUCCGGGAUGCAGUGCCCAAAUGCAGUGGUCAUUGAGUAAAGGUUUACUGUUAAGCGGUUUAGAUGUAUUUAGAAAUCCUAGAAGGGAAAAUGCCUAGACAAUGUGAUUUCCUUCUAUUUGUGCUACUUUUAUCACUCUGUGUUGUGUAUCCCAGGAUGUAAAUUCUGAAUAUGUGGAAUAAUGCCAUUUGCAGACUGGUAUUAAUAAAUCUGCUCUGGCACUACUGUGAAUAAUGCAAGAGACAAAAACAAGAGGGAAUAUUGCAUGUGGUAAUACUUCUCUUACGGAAUAAACAAUAAGAUUAAAGUGCUUCUAGGUAUGAAUGAAGAGCAAUAUAAUCUCACCACCAUACUUAAAAAUGUUUACUUACCAAUAAACAAAAAAUGGAAGUUCAGGGGGCACCUGGAUGGCUCAGUUGGUUAAGUGUCUGACUUUUGGUUUCAGCUCUGGUCAUGAUCUCAGGGUCCUGAGAGGGAGUCUCAUGUCCAGCUCGAAGUCUGCUUGAGUUUCUCUCUCUCCCUCACCCUCUGCCCUUCCCCUGCUCGAGCUCUCACCACCCCCCCAAUAAAUAAAUAAAAUAUUUUUAAAAUAGUAGUUGACUUUGAUUUACAGCUCUGUUGUGGAAAUAGAUGUUGCUUUCAAGAUACAACCAGGGAACUGAAACCCCAUGGCAUACCACAUCUAGAGAGCUACACGAUCCUCAGUUCUUUUUACAGACCUUUGAAACUAUGACGUAGUAAAGAAUUUGUUACUUUUCUCGCCUGGACAUUUUUAAAAAUUUGGAUAAGAAUGAAAUCAUACAGCACAAAUAGAGAAGUUUUCGGGCCAUAUAAACCCACAUUGCAAUAAUACUGUAGUUUCAAGUGGAAGGUGGAUUUCUAAACAUAGUCUGUUUCUUACAGGUAUGUAAGAAAACACAGUUUAUAAUAUGGAAAAUUAUUCUAAGUUACGAUGAAAGGAGCAGAGAUUUUAAAAGCUAUGACUCACUCAGUGAAUCACUGAAAAUCCUGGAAAAGGGUAUUUAGUCAUUUUAUGGUUGAAUUAUCUAAAAAAACAACAACCAAAAACCUUAAAACAUAUCCUGAUCAUCAAGAUGACAAGAGUCAGUACUUUUCAGAUUAUGUUACCUUAUUUGACUAAAAUGUGUUUUUCUAUGUAUAAUAAAGGUAAAGCAAAGUAGAACAUUCCAAAAAAUUUACAUCCACUUUCAUGUUGAAAAGCUGCCUCUUAAACAUAUCCCACAAAAUAUGUUCACAGACACAACUAAAGACAACUUUAAUCCCUUCUCUGCAUUGGAGCAUUUUCUUUAAUUUUCUAAUUUUCAGCUUUCCUGCCAAAAUUCUAACAAAAAGUUUGAGCAGAUUUUAUUUUCUUCAUCAAUCCUUUUUGAACAGAUACGUCUUCUUUCUCUGAAUUCCCUUAGCAAGUUCUGUGUGGACCCAAACUUGGUAUUUACUGUAAUCUUCUAAUCAUUGUGGUUCUUUUUUCACCUGCCUGUAUCUGAGCUCUACAGUAUGAUUAUAAGCUUCUUGAAGUCAUAGGCCAUGUCUUGUUCAUCUCGCGUAGGUCUCAGGAGAGCCUUGGAUAGAAGAAACAUUCAAUAAAUGUGCUGGAAAUCAUGAUGACUCUGGUCAUGAUUUACAGGACUGUCACAGCAGACCAAUGACAUAUCAUAGCAA
rnacentral:lncRNA from 1 species